rnacentral:rRNA from 2 species
GGCCCCGCGUGCAUUAGCUAGUUGGUAAGGUAACGGCUUACCAAGGCAAUGAUGCAUAGCCGAGUUGAGAGACUGAUCGGCCACAUUGGGACUGAGACACGGCCCAAACUCCUACGGGAGGCAGCAGUAGGGAAUCUUCCACAAUGGACGCAAGUCUGAUGGAGCAACGCCGCGUGAGUGAAGAAGGUUUUCGGAUCGUAAAGCUCUGUUGUUGGUGAAGAAGGAUAGAGGUAGUAACUGGCCUUUAUUUGACGGUAAUCAACCAGAAAGUCACGGCUAACUACGUGCCAGCAGCCGCGGUAAUACGUAGGUGGCAAGCGUUGUCCGGAUUUAUUGGGCGUAAAGCGAGCGCAGGCGGAAGAAUAAGUCUGAUGUGAAAGCCCUCGGCUUAACCGAGGAACUGCAUCGGAAACUGUUUUUCUUGAGUGCAGAAGAGGAGAGUGGAAUUCCAUGUGUAGCGGUGGAAUGCGUAGAUAUAUGGAAGAACACCAGUGGCGAAGGCGACUCUCUGGUCUGCAACUGACGCUGAGGCUCGAAAGCAUGGGUAGCGAACAGGAUUAGAUACCCUGGUAGUCCAUGCCGUAAACGAUGAGUGCUAAGUGUUGGGAGGUUUCCGCCUCUCAGUGCUGCAGCUAACGCAUUAAGCACUCCGCCUGGGGAGUACGACCGCAAGGUUGAAACUCAAAGGAAUUGACGGGGGCCCGCACAAGCGGUGGAGCAUGUGGUUUAAUUCGAAGCAACGCGAAGAACCUUACCAGGUCUUGACAUCUAGUGCCAUCCUAAGAGAUUAGGAGUUCCCUUCGGGGACGCUAAGACAGGUGGUGCAUGGCUGUCGUCAGCUCGUGUCGUGAGAUGUUGGGUUAAGUCCCGCAACGAGCGCAACCCUUGUUAUUAGUUGCCAGCAUUAAGUUGGGCACUCUAAUGAGACUGCCGGUGAUAAACCGGAGGAAGGUGGGGAUGACGUCAAGUCAUCAUGCCCCUUAUGACCUGGGCUACACACGUGCUACAAUGGACAGUACAACGAGAAGCGAGCCUGCGAAGGCAAGCGAAUCUCUGAAAGCUGUUCUCAGUUCGGACUGCAGUCUGCAACUCGACUGCACGAAGCUGGAAUCGCUAGUAAUCGCGGAUCAGAACGCCGCGGUGAAUACGUUCCCGGGCCUUGUACACACCGCCCGUCACACCAUGGAAGUCUGCAAUGCCCAAAGCCGGUGGCCUAACCUUCGGGAAGGAGCC